UCAUGAAUACCUCACCCCCUCGGGUUUCCGAUUGGGUGGAUUUGGGUGUUGCCUUUCGCAGGCUCGCCUUAAAAGCAUCAGUGGCUUGAAGACGUGAUACGUUUCGUCGUGAAGGCUGCUUCUAAUCUCCCGCAAGGGAUACUCCUAGAGUAAUUCAUGUCUACGACCUCAAAUCAGGUAGGGCUACCCGCUGAACUUAA
rnacentral:misc_RNA from 1 species